GUUGUUUUUAUACGACCGCAAAAUUUGAAAAAAUUUUCGUCGUAUAUUGCUAUCACGUUGGCGUCGUCGUCUGCGUCGUCGUCGUCGUCGUCGUCGUCGUCGUCGUCCGAAUACUUUUAGUUUUCGCACUCUAACUUUAGUAAAAGUGAAUGGAAAUCUAUGAAAUUUUAACACAAGGUUUAUGACCACAAAAGAAAGGUUGGUAUUGAUUUUGGGAGUUUUGGUCCCAACAUUUUAGGAAUUAGGGGCCAAAAAGGGCCCAAAUAAGCAUUUUCUUGGUUUUCGCACUAUAACUUUAGUUUAAGUUAAUAGAAAUCUAUGAAAUUUUGACACAAGGUUUAUGACCACAAAAGAACGGUUGGGAUUGGUUUUGGGAGUUUUGGUUUCAACAGUUUAGGAAUUAGGGGCCAAAAAAGGGCCCAAAUAAGCAUUAUUCUUGGUUUUCGCACAAAUACUUUAGUUUAAGUAAAUAGAAAUCAAUGAAAUUUAAACACAAUGUUAAUGACUACAAAAGAAAGGUUGGUAUUGAUUUUGGGAGUUUAGGUCCCAACUGUUUAGGAAUUAGGGGCCAAAAAGGGACCCAAAUAAGCAUUUUUCUUGGUUUUCGCACCAUAACGUUAGUAUAAGUAAAUAGAAAUCUAUGAAAUUUAAACACAAGGUUUAUGACCAUAAAAGGAAGG
rnacentral:lncRNA from 1 species